rnacentral:rRNA from 1 species
GGUCAAGUGAAGAAGCGCAUACGGUGGAUGCCUUGGCAGUCAGAGGCGAUGAAAGACGUGGUAGCCUGCGAAAAGCUUCGGGGAGUCGGCAAACAGACUGUGAUCCGGAGAUGUCUGAAUGGGGGAACCCAGCCAUCAUAAGAUGGUUAUCUUGUACUGAAUACAUAGGUGCAAGAGGCGAACCAGGGGAACUGAAACAUCUAAGUACCCUGAGGAAAAGAAAUCAACCGAGAUUCCCUUAGUAGUGGCGAGCGAACGGGGACCAGCCCUUAAGUUGUAUUGAGAUUAGCGGAACGUUCUGGAAAGGACGGCCAUAGUGGGUGAUAGCCCUGUACGCGAAAAUCCCUUUGCAAUGAAAUCGAGUAGGACGGGGCACGAGAAACCUUGUCUGAAUAUGGGGGGACCAUCCUCCAAGGCUAAAUACUACUGACUGACCGAUAGUGAACCAGUACCGUGAGGGAAAGGCGAAAAGAACCGCGGAGAGCGGAGUGAAAUAGAUCCUGAAACCGUAUGCGUACAAGCAGUGGGAGCCCACUUUGUUGGGUGACUGCGUACCUUUUGUAUAAUGGGUCAGCGACUUAUUUUCAGUGGCGAGCUUAACCGAAUAGGGGAGGCGUAGCGAAAGCGAGUCUUAAUAGGGCGUCUAGUCGCUGGGAAUAGACCCGAAACCGGGCGAUCUAUCCAUGGGCAGGUUGAAGGUUGGGUAACACUAACUGGAGGACCGAACCGACUACCGUUGAAAAGUUAGCGGAUGACCUGUGGAUCGGAGUGAAAGGCUAAUCAAGCUCGGAGAUAGCUGGUUCUCCUCGAAAGCUAUUUAGGUAGCGCCUCAUGUAUCACUGUAGGGGGUAGAGCACUGUUUCGGCUAGGGGGUCAUCCCGACUUACCAAACCGAUGCAAACUCCGAAUACCUACAAGUGCCGAGCAUGGGAGACACACGGCGGGUGCUAACGUCCGUCGUGAAAAGGGAAACAACCCAGACCGUCAGCUAAGGUCCCAAAGUCAUGGUUAAGUGGGAAACGAUGUGGGAAGGCUUAGACAGCUAGGAGGUUGGCUUAGAAGCAGCCACCCUUUAAAGAAAGCGUAAUAGCUCACUAGUCGAGUCGGCCUGCGCGGAAGAUGUAACGGGGCUCAAACCAUGCACCGAAGCUACGGGUAUCAUCUUUUGAUGAUGCGGUAGAGGAGCGUUCUGUAAGCCUGUGAAGGUGAGUUGAGAAGCUUGCUGGAGGUAUCAGAAGUGCGAAUGCUGACAUGAGUAACGACAAUGGGUGUGAAAAACACCCACGCCGAAAGACCAAGGUUUCCUGCGCAACGUUAAUCGACGCAGGGUUAGUCGGUCCCUAAGGCGAGGCUGAAAAGCGUAGUCGAUGGAAAACAGGUUAAUAUUCCUGUACUUCUGGUUAUUGCGAUGGAGGGACGGAGAAGGCUAGGCCAGCCUGGCGUUGGUNNNNNNNNNNNNNNNNNNNNNUUUAGAACACGAAGUGGUUGAUGCCAUGCUUCCAAGAAAAGCUUCUAAGCUUCAGGUAACCAGGAACCGUACCCCAAACCGACACAGGUGGUUGGGUAGAGAAUACCAAGGCGCUUGAGAGAACUCGGGUGAAGGAACUAGGCAAAAUGGCACCGUAACUUCGGGAGAAGGUGCGCCGGUGGAGGUGAAGCAUUUACUGCGUAAGCCCCUGCCGGUCGAAGAUACCAGGCCGCUGCGACUGUUUAUUAAAAACACAGCACUCUGCAAACACGAAAGUGGACGUAUAGGGUGUGACGCCUGCCCGGUGCCGGAAGGUUAAUUGAUGGGGUUAGCGCAAGCGAAGCUCUUGAUCGAAGCCCCGGUAAACGGCGGCCGUAACUAUAACGGUCCUAAGGUAGCGAAAUUCCUUGUCGGGUAAGUUCCGACCUGCACGAAUGGCGUAACGAUGGCGGCGCUGUCUCCACCCGAGACUCAGUGAAAUUGAAAUCGCUGUGAAGAUGCAGUGUAUCCGCGGCUAGACGGAAAGACCCCGUGAACCUUUACUAUAGCUUUGCACUGGACUUUGAAUUUGCUUGUGUAGGAUAGGUGGGAGGCUUUGAAGCGUGGACGCCAGUCUGCGUGGAGCCAACCUUGAAAUACCACCCUGGCAACUUUGAGGUUCUAACUCAGGUCCGUUAUCCGGAUCGAGGACAGUGUAUGGUGGGUAGUUUGACUGGGGCGGUCUCCUCCUAAAGAGUAACGGAGGAGUACGAAGGUGCGCUCAGACCGGUCGGAAAUCGGUCGUAGAGUAUAAAGGCAAAAGCGCGCUUGACUGCGAGACAGACACGUCGAGCAGGUACGAAAGUAGGUCUUAGUGAUCCGGUGGUUCUGUAUGGAAGGGCCAUCGCUCAACGGAUAAAAGGUACUCCGGGGAUAACAGGCUGAUACCGCCCAAGAGUUCAUAUCGACGGCGGUGUUUGGCACCUCGAUGUCGGCUCAUCACAUCCUGGGGCUGAAGCCGGUCCCAAGGGUAUGGCUGUUCGCCAUUUAAAGUGGUACGCGAGCUGGGUUUAGAACGUCGUGAGACAGUUCGGUCCCUAUCUGCCGUGGACGUUUGAGAUUUGAGAGGGGCUGCUCCUAGUACGAGAGGACCGGAGUGGACGAACCUCUGGUGUUCCGGUUGUCACGCCAGUGGCAUUGCCGGGUAGCUAUGUUCGGAAAAGAUAACCGCUGAAAGCAUCUAAGCGGGAAACUUGCCUCAAGAUGAGAUCUCACUGGAACCUUGAGUUCCCUAAAGGGCCGUCGAAGACUACGACGUUGAUAGGUUGGGUGUGUAAGCGCUGUGAGGCGUUGAGCUAACCAAUACUAAUUGCCCGUGAGGCUUGACCAU